AAUAGAUACCCGGGUAGUCCACCCCGUAAACGUUGGGAACUAGUUGUGGGGUCCUUUCCACGGAUUCCGUGACGCAGCUAACGCAUUAAGUUCCCCGCCUGGGGAGUACGGCCGCAAGGCUAAAACUCAGAGGAAUUGACGGGGACCCGCACAAGCGGCGGAGCAUGCGGAUUAAUUCGAUGCAACGCGAAGAACCUUACCAAGGCUUGACAUACACCAGAACACCCUAGAAAUAGGGGACUCUUUGGACACUGGUGAACAGGUGGUGCAUGGUUGUCGUCAGCUCGUGUCGUGAGAUGUUGGGUUAAGUCCCGCAACGAGCGCAACCCUCGUUCUAUGUUGCCAGCACGUAAUGGUGGGAACUCAUGGGAUACUGCCGGGGUCAACUCGGAGGAAGGUGGGGAUGACGUCAAAUCAUCAUGCCCCUUAUGUCUUGGGCUUCACGCAUGCUACAAUGGCCGGUACAAAGGGCUGCAAUACCGUGAGGUGGAGCGAAUCCCGAAAAAGCCGGUCCCAGUUCGGAUUGAGGUCUGCAACUCGA
rnacentral:rRNA from 1 species